UCUGGGAUGAAUGGGGUUCAGUGAGUUGUAUCUAGGUCUGGGAUGAAUGGGGUUCAGUGAGUUGUAUCUAGGUCUGGGAUGAAUGGGGUUCAGUGAGUUGUAUCUAGGUCUGGGAUGAAUGGGGUUCAGUGAGUUGUAUCUAGGUCUGGGAUGAAUGGGGUUCAGUGAGUUGUAUCUAGGUCUGGGAUGAAUGGGGUUCAGUGAGUUGUAUCUAGGUCUGGGAUGAAUGGGGUUCAGUGAGUUGUAUCUAGGUCUGGGAUGAAUGGGGUUC